rnacentral:rRNA from 1 species
AUUGAACGCUGGCGGCAUGCCUUACACAUGCAAGUCGAACGGCAGCACGGGGCAACCUGGUGGCGAGUGGCGAACGGGUGAGUAAUGCAUCGGAACGUACCUUUCAGUGGGGGAUAACGUAGCGAAAGUUACGCUAAUACCGCAUAUUCUGUGAGCAGGAAAGCAGGGGAUCGCAAGACCUUGCGCUGAUUGAGCGGCCGAUGUCAGAUUGGCUAGUUGGUGAGGUAAAGGCUCACAAAGGCGACGAUCUGUAGCGGGUCUGAGAGGAUGAUCCGCCACACUGGAACUGAGACACGGUCCAGACUCCUACGGGAGGCAGCAGUGGGGAAUUUUGGACAAUGGGGGCAACCCUGAUCCAGCCAUGCCGCGUGAGUGAAGAAGGCCUUCGGGUUGUAAAGCUCUUUCGGCCGGGAAGAAAUCGCACGGGCUAAUACCCUGUGUGGAUGACGGUACCGGAAUAAGAAGCACCGGCUAACUACGUGCCAGCCGCCGCCGUAAUAC